GACGAACGCUGGCGGCGUGCCUAAUACAUGCACGUAGGACGCAGUUGCGAACGGGUGAGUAACGCGUAGGUAACUGCCUAUUAGAGGGGGAUAACUAUUGGAAACGAUAGCUAAUACCGCAUACUAGUAGAUGGACCUGCGUUGUAUUAGCUAGUAGGUAGAGUAAUGGACUACCUAGGCAACGAUACAUAGCCGACCUGAGAGGGUGAGCGGCCAACCUGUGACUAGGACACGGCCCAGACUCCUACGGUAGGUAUCAGUAGGGAAUCGUCGGCCAUGGGCGGCACCCUGAUCGAGGACCGCCGCGUGAGUGAAGAAGUUUUUUGGUGCGUAAAGCUCGAUUGUUAAGGAAGCGGUACUUAACCAGAACGGGACUGCUAACUACGUGGCAGCAGCCGCGGUAAUUC
rnacentral:rRNA from 1 species